GUGGGGAAUAUUGGACAAUGGGCGAAAGCCUGAUCCAGCCAUGCCGCGUGUGUGAAGAAGGUCUUCGGAUUGUAAAGCACUUUAAGUUGGGAGGAAGGGCAGUAAGUUAAUACCUUGCUGUUUUGACGUUACCGACAGAAUAAGCACCGGCUAACUUCGUGCAAGCAGCCGCGGUAAUACGAAGGGUGCAAGCGUUAAUCGGAAUUACUGGGCGUAAAGCGCGCGUAGGUGGUUUUGUAAGUUGGAGGUGAAAUCCCCGGGCUCAACCUGGGAACUGCCUCCAAAACUGCAUGACUAAAGUACGGUAGAGGGUAGUGGAAUUUCCUGUGUAGCGGUGAAAUGCGUAGAUAUAGGAAGGAACACCAGUGGCGAAGGCGACUACCUGGACUGAUACUGACACUGAGGUGCGAAAGCGUGGGGAGCAAACAGGAUUAGAAACCCCUGUAGUCC
rnacentral:rRNA from 1 species